rnacentral:rRNA from 1 species
ACAGCAGUCGCCGCGGUAAUACGUAGGUCCCGAGCGUUGUCCGGAUUUAUUGGGCGUAAAGGGAGCGCAGGCGGUUUAGUAAGUCUGAAGUUAAAGGCAUUGGCUCAACCAAUGUAUGCUUUGGAAACUGUUAGACUUGAGUGCAGAAGGGGAGAGUGGAAUUCCAUGUGUAGCGGUGAAAUGCGUAGAGAUGUGGAGGAACACCAGUGGCGAAGGCGACUCUCUGGUCUGUAACUGACGCUGAGGAGCGAAAGCGUGGGGAGCGAACAGGAUUAGAUACCCCCGUAGUCCCUGUCUCUUAUACA